UACGUAGGGUGCGAGCGUUAAUCGGAACUACUGGGCGUAAAGCGUGCGCAGGCGGUUUUGUAAGCCAGAUGUGAAAUCCCCGGGCUUAACCUGGGAAUGGCAUUUGGGACUGCAAGGCUUGAGUGCGGCAGAGGAGACUGGAAUUCCUGGUGUAGCAGUGAAAUGCGUAGAUAUCAGGAGGAACACCGAUGGCGAAGGCAGGUCUCUGGGCUGACACUGACGCUCAUGCACGAAAGCGUGGGGAGCAAACAGG
rnacentral:rRNA from 1 species